UGGCGACCGGCGUACGGGUGAGUAACGCGUAUCCAACCUGCCCUUUACUAUGGGACAGCCCGUCGAAAGGCGGAUUAAUACCGUAUGUUGUCAUGUUGAUGCAUAUUUUCAUGACCAAAGGCUUCGGCCGGUAAAGGAUGGGGAUGCGUCUGAUCAGCUUGCCGGCGGGGUAACGGCCCACCGGGGCGACGAUCAGUAGGGGUUCUGAGAGGAAGGUCCCCCACAUUGGAACUGAGACACGGUCCAAACUCCUACGGAAGGCAGCAG
rnacentral:rRNA from 1 species